rnacentral:rRNA from 1 species
UACGGAGGAUGCGAGCGUUAUCCGGAUUUAUUGGGUUUAAAGGGUGCGUAGGCGGUCCGUUAAGUCAUCGGUAAAAUUGCGGGGCUCAACCCCGUCGAGCCGUUGAAACUGGCAGACUUGAGUUGGCGAGAAGUACGCGGAAUGCGCGGUGUAGCGGUGAAAUGCAUAGAUAUCGCGCAGAACUCCGAUUGCGAAGGCAGCGUACCGGCGCCACACUGACGCUGAGGCACGAAAGCGUGGGGAUCGAACAGG